GAAAAACAUCAUACGCUAGUGACGCGACGGGGCAGGCGUUUCAAAGCCAGUUUGGUAGGCAUACUGCUAGUCUCGGCUCUCGAGUAGCCAUUGAUUUGAGGGCGCAAACGAAUCAACCAAAUCCUACGGAAUACCCCCAGGCAAGGUUUGUUAAGACGACCAAGAGUAGAGUUUCGUUUCAGACAAGUGAGAAGUGAGGACCUUGGUCCACUAAUCUCCCUCCGUUCUCCCGUGAUUCUAGGCGUCUUCUAAUUCACGUUUCUCGGGGCAGAAUCAGUGAGACCAUCGUUGUAGAUGACGUUCUAUGGAUUAGGGUUUUUUUCUUCGUAAGCAAUGGUAGGAAUAAUGGCGACAGUUUCCAGAGACAAAAUCUCGAGUCUCAUAAACUCGGUGAAGUUUGACGCUGAUAUUCCUUCGAAGCUGGAACACUUACGCUCGCUGAGCGACGAACUCUCGAAUGCCGAUUCUGUCUUGCUCUCCAAGUUUCUCUCCCCUCUUCUGGACCUCCUCUCGGACCGCUUCAGUCCCGUUCGUAAAUUCACUGCUGAGAUGAUUGGCGACAUUGGAUUGAAGUUUGCAGAAUCCAUACCUGAAAUGGUACCUGUAUUAAUACCUGUGUUGAAGGAUGAUACCCCAGCGGUUGCUCGACAGGCUAUUAGGUGUGGUAUGGAGAUUUUUCGCUAUGUUCUAUUCAAAGUUGCGCUCCAGGGAAUGUAUUCAAACGAGUUGGAUACUUCUCUGGAAUCAUCUUGGUCAUGGAUGCUAAAGUUUCGCGAUGAGAUAUGCUCGUUGGCAUUUAAGCCAGGAAGUGAUGGGAGAAGGUUGCUUGCACUGAAGUUUAUGGAAACAGUUGUUCUACUCUAUACACCUGAUCCUAAUGGCUCCUCAGAUCCACCUGCUGAUCUAGAUUCAGAAGGUACUUUAGCCAGUGUUAAAGAAUUUAACAUAUCAUGGCUUCGAGGGGGUCAUCCUAUACUAAAUAUUGGAGAUUUGUCAAUUGAAGCAAGUCAGAGUUUGGGUCUGCUGCUCGAUCAGUUGAGAUUUCCAACAGUAAAGUCACUGAACAACUUGAUUAUCAUUAUGCUUAUCAACAGUCUCUCUGCAAUUGCAAGUAAAAGGCCUGCAUUUUAUGGACGUAUUCUGCCAGUUUUACUUGGUUUGGACCCUUCAAGCUCCAGUGGCAAAGGGGUGCAUCAUGCUUUGAAGAGUGCCUUCCUCUCUUGCUUGAAUUGUACUCAUCCGGGUGCUGUCCCGUGGCGUGAUCGCUUAAUUGAUGCUCUGAGAGAAUUAAAAGCUGUAGGAGUGGCAGAACAUGCUGCUAUAGAACUAGCUUCACAAAAUAGUGGAAGUUUAGAGAGGAAAAAUGAUUCUUUAAUAACCCAGGAUCGAAAACCUACAAGCAAGGCCCUUGAUGAUAUACGCAAUGACGCCAGCAGGAAAAGAACAGGAAUGGAAGAAAGUACUGAUCUACUUGAGGAUAAAAUGUCUGUAAAACGCAUGAAAUCUGUGCCUGUCACCUCUGAUGGAUCAACAAAUGAUUUAAGUUCUGACCAGGGCAGAGUUCCUUCUGGUGGAUCUGGGGCUUGUAAAAUGGAAGAAGACAGUGGCCCUGUCCAACAACUUGUUGGUAUGUUUGGUGCAUUGGUUGCUCAAGGAGAAAAAGCUAUUGCAUCAUUAGAGAUUCUCAUCUCUAGUAUAUCAGCUGACUUGCUUGCUGAAGUUGUAAUUGCUAACAUGCGAAAUUUUCCUUCAAAUCGCCCUCAAAUUGAAGGAGAUAAUGAGCAGUUGUUUGGCAGAGGGUCUUGUCCUGGCAUGUCAGGAAGCAAUUCUGAGUUUGAUAAUUUAACAUUGCUUCUCACCAACCUUCUUUCACAAUCUAGUGCUGUCUCACAGAAAGAUGGUGGGAUGGAUUCUCUACCUUCUGCAGCAAAUGAGCUUGAGCUAAGAGGGACCUCGGGUAAUACUGAUGUCCCUGGUAUGAGCUAUGUGAUGGAAGAGGCUUCGGUGCCUACAACUACUCCAGCUUCUUCAGGUGGACAUGUCCCAUGUGACACAGAGAAUGGUGGUUCAGGGACGCCUUCUGAUGUUAUUGAUGUUGGGAAUGAAGAGAGUGACAUACCUGGUCUAGAUUUACCUGUUCCCAACGAUGAAUUAGUUAUUACUUCUUUGGGUUCAACUGAAUUGAAGGAUGCAAGUCAAGAACAAGUUAGUAGUCUAGCUAGGUCAUCACUAGAAUUACUUCCUUCAGUGUCAACUGAUAGGUCUGAGGAACUUAGCCCUAGAGCUACAGUCACAGACCUAAGCUGUGUCAACUCCUUAAGUGCAACUUCUUCUGGGUUAUCGACACAGUUGCUUUUGCCCAAGAUUUCUGCCCCAGUUAUAAGUCUUAGUGAUGACCAGCUAGAUAACUUACAGAAGCCAAUUCUCUUGCGCAUAACUGAUACUUACAAGCAAAUAGCUACCGCUGGAGGUUCUCAAGUCUGCCUUUCUGUACUUGCUUAUUUAGGAGUUAAGUUUCCAUUGGAUUUAGAGCCAUGGAAGUUACUACAAACACAUAUACUGUCUGACUAUGUAAAUCAUGAGGGGCACGAGUUGACUUUGCGUGUCCUCUACAGGUUAUAUGGUGAAGCAGAAGAGGACCACGACUUUGUUUCCUCAACCACUUCUAAAUCUGUAUAUGAGAUGUUUCUUCUUACCGUGGCAGAAACAUUAAGGGAUUCUUUUCCAUGGCCUGACAAAUGUCUAAAUAGAUUGCUUGUUGAAGUUCCUUACCUGCCCGAUUCCAUUUUGAAAUUGCUUGAGGGCAUGUGUUCCCCUGGUGGCAGUAACAAAGAUAACAACAAUCUGGAACGAGUUCGGCAAGGUCUUAGUAUUGUAUGGAGUCUGAUUUUGUUGAGGCCUCCUAUUCGAGAUGCCUGCCUAACAAUUGCUUUGAAGAGUGCAAUUCAUCCGGUUGAAGAAGUGCGAGAUAAGGCCUUACGUCUGGUGGUGAACAAGCUUUAUCCUCUGCCUUCAAUGUCACGGCAAAUAGAAGCUUUUGCCUGGGAGGUGUUGGUAUCAGCUGCAAAUGCCAAUACUGCAUUGGAGUCAUGUGAUGCUGAUGGAGCUAAUGCUGAAUUUAAGGAUUCUGAUAUGGGAAAACCAUCAAAUGAACUUCCCGUUGUUGGUACCUCUUCCAAAGGGUUAUCAGCAGUCACCGAUUCAUUGUCAAUAUCUGAAAGUAUAUCGUCCUCCUUACUAGCUGAGGGGCAGCGACGCAUGGCUCUGUAUUUUGCAAUUUGUACAAAGAAUCACUCCCUCUUUCGCCAAAUAUUUGUUAUUUAUGAGAAUACAUCCAAGGCUGUAAAGCAGGCAGUAUUACACCACAUCCCAAAGCUUGUUCGAGCAAUUGGCCCGUCGCCUGAGCUUCUUCAAAUCUUAUCUGAUCUACCAACUGGAAGCAUGGAGCUUGUGAUGCAGGUUUUACACACAUUGAUAGAUGGGACAACGCCUUCCCCGGAAUUGUUAUCUACCAUUAAGAAGUUGUAUGAUACUAAAGUAAAGGAUGUAGAGAUUCUAAUUCUCAUACUGCCAUUUUUGCCAAAAGAUGAGGUUUUGGCAAUGUUUCCACAUCUCGUGAAUUCCCCAUUGGAGAAGUUUCAGCUUGCCCUUGCAUGUGUGCUUCAGGGGUCUUCUAGUUUCUGUCCGGCAAUAACUCCAGCUGAAGCUUUGAUUGCAAUCCAUGGAAUUGAUCCAGAAAGAGAUGGGAUCCCUUUGAAGAAGGUUACGGAAGCAUGUAAUACUUGUUUUGGGCAGCGACAGAUCUUCACUCAGCAAGUUCUUGCAAAGGUCUUGAAUCAAUUGGUUGAGCAGACUCCCCUUCCCCUAUUAUUUAUGCGCACAGUGCUGCAGGCAAUUGGUGCUUUUCCAUCACUGGUGGACUAUAUAAUGGAAAUCCUUUCUCGCCUUGUACAGAAGCAGAUAUGGAAGUAUCCAAAGCUAUGGGUCGGAUUCAUUAAGUGUGCUUUUUUGACAAAGCCAGAAUCUUUUGGUGUCUUGCUUCAGAUAUUCGCUAAAAGGAAAAAAUUUUGAGAAGACAGUAUAUGUAAUAGAGCUCUCCACUGAGAUAUGGUUCUUCCUUGGCUUCAAUUAUCUGUAUUUUCUUCAUAUCUUUAAAAUGUUGUAGACUCUUGAAGUCUUGACGAUUAUGCUGAGACUGACCUUUAUGGUUAUUUAGUAAUACUUGAAUUGCCAUAUUGAUUAGUUUGGUCCAAUAUUUGUAGUUGACUGCAGUGAUUUUAUCAAUUCUUGUCAUACUCUGGGCUCUGAAUGUGAUGUUAGAUGCUUUCGCUUUUUCAGCUUCCACCAGCACACCUGGAAAAUGCAUUACAUAGAACGCCAGCUCUAAGGGAUCCCUUGAUUGCACAUGCUAGCCAACCACAUAUUAAAUCAUCACUCCCAAGGUCUGUACUAGUGGUGCUAGGAUUAGCUUCCGACUUUCAUAAUUCAGAUUUGACAAAACCAACCCAUUCUGAGACAGGAGAGUUGGGCAAGUCGGAACAUACACACUCAAGUCAUGCUCAAAGUGAAGAGACUAGCAAGUCUGAUAAGGAGGUGGUGACUGACAAGUCAAAGGAAUCAUCUGAUGCAACUUGAUCUGAGGAAGAUGGCAAGAUGUGCCUCUUGCAUGUUAAUUGCAGUAUGCAGGAAUCGUGUGAGGCAGGCCAGUUAUCCCAAAUCUCUGCUUUCUUGUGCUCUGAAAAGUUGUCUGCAUUCAUUUGGUGAUAAGCUCAAGAUCUGCAGCUAUCUGUUGGCUCAAUCUGUUGAUUGGAUCUUGAAUUUUAUCUGGAACAUCUCUAAUAGGGGUGAAGAAGAAACAUGUGGCUAGGGAAAUGCAAAUCUUUAUAAUGGUUGGUAGAAUUUCUUUUGGUUGACUUGCAUGGCUUAAAUCUAAUGUCGCUAGAUACGUGGACUACUGCUACUUGAAUUCCCAGAGUUUUAGAUGCUGUGGGAUGUAGCCCAAGCGGUCAAUCUUACAGCACAUCAGCCUUGUUUCUUGAAAUUAUCUCUAUGCUGCUGACCUUGAUGGUUCCCCCUAGAUGCUCUGAAUGUUUUAUGAUUGCUGUUCCAGUGCUUGAGGAAAUUAAAAAAAAAAGAGCUGCAUCUUGAAUUUCAUCAUUUUCUGUUCUUUAUGAAAAUUGAUGGCUGCUCACAUGUAUUUGGGAAAUUAACUUCUGCCAGAUAAUGAUUAGUAGUUAUCUCGGAUUUGGGACAAA